GAUGAACGCUGGCGGCGUGCCUAAUACAUGCAAGUCGAGCGAAUGGAUUGAGAGCUUGCUCUUAUGAAGUUAGCGGCGGACGGGUGAGUAACACGUGGGUAACCUGCCCAUAAGACUGGGAUAACUCCGGGAAACCGGGGCUAAUACCGGCUAACAUUUUGAACCGCAUGGUUCGAAAUUGAAAGGCGGCUUCGGCUGUCACUUCUGGAUGGACCCGCGUCGCAUUAGCUAGUUGGUGAGGUAACGGCCCACCAAGUCAACGAUGCGUAGCCGACCUGAGAGGGGGAUCGGCCACACUGGGAGUGAGACACGGCCCAGACUCGUACGGGAGGCAGCAGUAGGGAAUCUUCCGCAAUGGACGAAAGUCUGACGGUGCAACGCCGCGUGAGUGAUGAAGGCUUUCGGGUCGUAAAACUCUGUUGUUAGGGAAGAACAAGUGCUAGUUGAAUAAGCUGGCACCUUGACGGUACCUAACCAGAAAGCCACGGCUAACUACGUGCCAGCCGCCGCCGUAA
rnacentral:rRNA from 1 species